AGCGGGCAGGGCUCGGUCUCAUGGGGUUUUACCCGCGCAGUUUGAAAGAGCGAGAGGAAGAAGAGGGAAAGAGAAACAUCGGUCAGCUAUGGGGGCCGAUCCCGCAACCUUGGGCACGUGUUCUGACGGGGAAUCGAAGUGGCAACCUGUAGGUGCACAAGAGGAUGCCCAACCAACUGAGCCACACUGGCCAGGGCAUUGGCAGCUGUACUUUUAAAAAGCAGAGGGAAGCUCAGCCUCAACAGUGGAGCCUUGGCCUCUGCUCACCUAGAGAGGAAAGGAGGAAGAGAUAGAAACAUCAAUGAGAGAGGCUCAAGCCCACAACCCAGGCAUAUUCCCUGACUGGGAAUUGAAUCUUGAUCUUCUGGUUCAUAGGUUGAUGCUCAACCACCAGCUGGGCAAGUUCUUCAGUUCUUAAAUAAAAUGGUAAGGCUGGCUUUUGGAGGCCUUUCUACCCCUGC